rnacentral:lncRNA from 1 species
UCAGAAUGAAGACAGCCUUGCUAGUUUUCUGCCUUGGGGUCUUUGCCUUCGCUACUUUGGCGGACAUGACAGCAGCCUACAAAGUGACCCAUUUCGAUAUAGGUCUUGGAUGUCCAAAGUCCUUGCUGACUUGUUCACAAGCAUGCCGAAGCACUUAUGGUCAUCAAGGUGGAUAUUGCAAUGGGCCGUUCAACAUCGUCUGCACCUGUACCUGACCGGGCUUCAAAAGAUUUUGUUACGUUGCCUCACCAUUCGUGUUCACAUUUUCCUGCUAGCAGCCCAAGAUGCCCGAGUGAAAAUUUUCGCUCAUCAUGCUAACAGAUUGUGCCUGAUGUAAUGAAGCGUGUACCUCGACGCAGUGUACCAUUACAAAUACGCACUUCCUUCUCUGUUACAUCGUUGGUAUUUUUCUAUAAGUUAUAUUAUCUCCCCAUUCACUUUCUUCUGAAUAAAAGUUUAUUGUUGC